CCAACCUCGAGUCGGCGGUGGGGGAAACGGUCGCCGGACGGCCCGGAGGCGCGGUCUCGCUCGCCGUCGGCAUCGCUCAGAUCUUCAGCGGCCUGCCCGGCAUGCGCGGCCUGAUGGACUACUGGUAUCACUUCGCGAUCAUGUUCGAGGCGCUGUUCAUCCUCACCACGAUCGACACCGGGACACGCGUGGCGCGCUUCCUCGUCCAGGAAUUCCUCGGCCAGUUCCACGCGCCGAUGGCGCGCCAGGAAUGGCUGCCCGGCUCGAUCGUGUCGACACUGCUCGUCGUCUGCGCCUGGGGCUAUUUCAUCUGGACCGGGAGCAUCAGCACCAUCUGGCCGAUGUUCGGCAUCGCCAACCAGCUGCUCGCCACCGUGGCGCUGGCCGUGGGCACGACCAUCAUCGUCAACAGCGGCAAGGCGCGCUAUGCGUGGGUGACGCUCGUGCCGCUGUCGUUCGUCGCGGUGACGACGCUGACGGCGGGCGUGAUGAGCGUGCAGACGAAUUUCUGGCCGAUGGCGAUCGGCCCGGACCCGACCCGCCACUUCACCGGCUAUCUCAAUAGCGGGCUCACGGUGAUGAUGAUGGUCGCCGUCGUCGUCAUUCUCGUCAACGCCGCGUGGCGCUGCACGCGGGUGCUCACGGGAAGAGUGCCGCUGCACGUCGCCGACGUCGCCUAGUGGCCCCGAUAGUCACGCGGAAAUCUAUCAUUUCGCUGUCCUUCCGCCUGAAGGCGGACGUCGCGCCGGGACCAGGUAAUCACUCAUCACUGCCCCGGCGUAAUACCGUCAGGCGCUUUCCACACGCCCGCUUUCCUAUC
rnacentral:misc_RNA from 1 species